UGACAAUAUAGAGACUCAAGUUUACUUUUAUUUGUGCUACCCCAAGCGACAUUUGCAUAGUUUAGAUGGCAUUGGAAAAAUUAGUGAUAUAGUUGAGUUAAAGUGUGCUUACUUAGGUUGUUUCUUGUUUUGUAUAAUAUUCCAAUACAUAAAUGUACUGCUUCCAUGAAAGAUUUUCAUUAAUAUAAACGCCUAAAAAUUUGUUGAAGUUUAUUUUAAAGUUUAAAUUUUAAUCCGGGCCUCUCAAUUACUUCUCUCUCCCUCUCCCCCCUCCAACCUCGAAACAAAAAAAAAGGUACAUGAAAACAAAAGCCUCAUUUUUAAAUAAAAUUUUGAUUUAAUUUAAUGGAAACAAGUAUGUUACACUAUGCAAGUCUAAUUGUAUCACGAGAAAAAGUAGUAAAAGUGAAGAAAUCCUUUUAAUUGAAAAUUUAGAGAUUGUAUCACGAGAAGAAGUGGUUGUAGUUCAUUUAGAAACAGAUUGUAUCACGAGAAGAAGUGGAAAAAUAUUUCUGUAUUAUAAGAUAAAGGUUGAAAUACUUUGAAACAGCUGCUGAUAGCGAUGAAAAAUUGUCCAUGCCACCAGCUAAAAAGUUAGCAGUUUGUAAUACAAGUGACACUGAGGAGACAUAUCCAUCAGUUUCCCCAAUAUUGAAGAAAUCUUUUAAUUCCCAAAAUAUUUUACAACCCACAACUGUUCGAUAUAUUGAGCCAUUUAGUUCGAAUCGUUCUCUACUGAUAUUUUCGUCUUCUGAUCAGAGCUUGGCAACUGUUAUGGCUGCUUUAGGCACCCGAUUUCCUGGUAAAGGAUUACCUUGAUGGGUUAUUUGUUUGAAGGUUGAAUUAAAUGUACUCUUUAAUAUAUUUUUGAAUGUAAUUAUACUAUUUUUUUCUUAGUUUUUUGCGUUAACUUAAAUAAAAAGCUAAUCUAUUUAAUUGGUAUUUAUUAAAGUCAAAAUUAUUUUUUUAUUGCAGCAUUUGAGAAGAAAAGUUUAGAGUUGCUUGACAGUAUUCAAUAUGAUUUGAAAAAGUUAAACACUUGCCUAAUCAAUUUAGAAAAAGGUUUAGUGUUUCCUUCUGUUAGCAAUCAGAGCAUAGCAGGACCAUCCCCAUCAGUUAAAUGGAAUUAUUUGCCUGUUAAAGAGGAAAAAGAACUUCUAGAUUUUAAUUAUGAUACGGAAAAGAAUGCUUUAUAUACAGUAUAUUUAUUAAAUUGUGUUGUGGUUUUAACCAUUUAUGCCCAGUUAACUCAUUUAGUAGAGCAAUCAGCCUACUAAUCAUAGGAAGCCUCACAUUAGAUACUUGAGAUUGCAUUCACCCCGAUUUUUUUACUGUUGUAAAGACAACCUAUACUAGUGAAUGAAUAAUCUGAUACUAUAGUAUCAGAUUUUUUACACAAUAUAUUGUGUAAUUAUUGGUAGGGGUAUGAGAAGCUCAUAAACCUGUAUAAAAUUUUGUGUGGUAUUCUUCUUAGUGUUUUUAUCACUUUAUAAAACAUUUAUGUCAAUAAGUCUUGAUCACCAAAACAGGUUGACCUCAGGGAUUGCAUCUAUUUAUAACAAAUUGCUUUUUCUCCGUGUCAUCUUUGAAUAUCUCAUUAUAGAUAAUGAAGUUGUAACAUUAUGGAAACCUGUUCGAAAUACACACAUUUAUAGAACCAUUAAACUUUUAUUACAACCAAUUAUAUAUUUUUGAAUAUAAUAAUAAACAAACUCGAUUUUUUUUUGUUUGUUUUUGUUUUAGAUGAACUUCCUUGCAUCGGUUGGAGGCGACGAUUACAAGCAACUUACCACGGCUAUCUUAAAACAAGUAAUGGCUAAAAAAGUAUGCUUGUUAUACUUUAUGUAUGGCAGGAAACAAAAGAAAUCAUUUUCGCCUCUUACAAGGUGCAAGGUGGUUAUAGUUGCCAUAAAAAAAAUUUGAAAACGCUAAUGACAAAAGCAUUAAAGAAAGAAUCGGCAGCUUUCUGGCAACGGCCAUUGAUAGAGAAGGCGGAAGAAAGAAUAGAACCGCAAUUGAGCAAAGCCCACUAUUGAGCGAUGAAAAUGAAUGUCGCCAAGAUAAUGAAAAUCAAUGCCCACUAUCUGAUAGUGAGAGUGUAACGCUGUAAUAUAUAUAUAUAUAUAUAUAUAUAUAUAUAUAUA
rnacentral:misc_RNA from 1 species